UACGGAGGGGGCUAGCGUUGUCCGAAGUUACUGGGCGUAAAGCGCGCGUAGGCGGGUUGGUAAGUCCGCUGUGAAAGCCCGGAGCUUAACUCCGGAGGGUCGGUGGAUACUGCCAGUCUUGAAGGUGCUAGGGGGAGAUGGAAUUACCGGUGUAGCGGUGAAAUGCGUAGAUAUCGGUAGGAACACCAGUGGCGAAGGCGGUCUCCUGGGGCAUUCUUGACGCUGAGGCGCGAAAGCUGGGGGAGCAAACGGGG
rnacentral:rRNA from 1 species